GUCGCAAGACCAAAGAGGGGGACCUUCGGGCCUCUUGCCAUCAUAUGUGCCCAUAUGGGAUUAUCUAGUAGGUGGGGUAGCGGCUCACCUACGCGACGAUCCCUAGCUGGUCUGAGAGGAUGACCAGCCACACUGGAACUGAGACACGGUCCACACUCCUACGGGAGGCAGCAGUGGGGAAUAUUGCACAGUGGGCGCAAGCCUGAUGCAGCCAUGCCGCGUGUAUGAAGAGGGCCUUCGGGUUGUAAAGUACUUUCAGCGGGGAAGAAGGCGUUGAGGUUAAUAACCACAGCGAUUGACGUUACCCGCAGAAGAAGCACCGGCUAUCUCCGUGCCAGCAGCCGCGGUAAUACGGAGGGUGCAAGCGUUAAUCGGAAUUACUGGGCGUAAAGCGCACGCAGGCGGUCUGUCAAGUCAGAUGUGAAAUCCCCGGGCUCAACCUGGGAACUGCAUUCGAAACUGGCAGCUAGAGUCUUGUAGAGGGGGGUAGAAUUCCAGGGUGUAGCGGUGAAAUGCGUAGAGAUCUGGAAGAAUACCGGGUGGCAAGG
rnacentral:rRNA from 1 species